AGUGAACGCUGGCGGUAGGCCUAACACAUGCAAGUCGAACGGCAGCACAGUAAGAGCUUGCUCUUACGGGUGGCGAGUGGCGGACGGGUGAGGAAUACAUCGGAAUCUACUUUUUCGUGGGGGAUAACGUAGGGAAACUUACGCUAAUACCGCAUACGACCUACGGGUGAAAGCAGGGGAUCUUCGGACCUUGCGCGAUUGAAUGAGCCGAUGCCGGAUUAGCUAGUUGGCGGGGUAAAGGCCCACCAAGGCGACGAUCCGUAGCUGGUCUGAGAGGAUGAUCGGCCACACUGGAACUGAGACACGGUCCAGACUCCUACGGGAGGCAGCAGUGGGGAAUAUUGGACAAUGGGCGCAAGCCUGAUCCAGCCAUACCGCGUGGGUGAAGAAGGCCUUCGGGUUGUAAAGCCCUUUUGUUGGGAAAGAAAAGCAGCAGGUUAAUACCCCGCUGUUCUGACGGUACCCAAAGAAUAAGCACCGGCUAACUUCGUG
rnacentral:rRNA from 1 species